rnacentral:rRNA from 1 species
UACGUAGGGUGCAAGCGUUGUCCGGAAUUAUUGGGCGUAAAGAGCUCGUAGGCGGUUUGUCACGUCGGAUGUGAAACCCUGAGGCUCAACCUCAGGCCUGCAUUCGAUACGGGCAGACUAGAGGUAUGCAGGGGAGAACGGAAUUCCUGGUGUAGCGGUGGAAUGCGCAGAUAUCAGGAGGAACACCGGUGGCGAAGGCGGUUCUCUGGGCAUUACCUGACGCUGAGGAGCGAAAGUGUGGGGAGCGAACAGG